rnacentral:rRNA from 1 species
UUUAGUAGCCAUGCAACCCUGGUUGUGCCCACUCUCAUCUGACUGUAACAGCUAAGUCAGGUUAUGUCUGGUUAGUACUUGGAUGGGGGUUCACCUGAGAAGACCAGGGUUCCAACC